rnacentral:rRNA from 1 species
UACGUAGGGUGCGAGCGUUGUCCGGAAUUAUUGGGCGUAAAGAGCUCGUAGGCGGUUCGUCGCGUCGGCUGUGAAAACCCGGAGCUCAACUCCGGGCCUGCAGUCGAUACGGGCGGACUAGAGUUCGGCAGGGGAGACUGGAAUUCCCGGUGUAGCGGUGAAAUGCGUAGAGAUCGGGAGGAACACCUGCGGCGAAAGCGGCUCACUGGACCAUAACUGACGCUGAUGCACGAAAGCUAGGGGAGCAAACAGG